rnacentral:rRNA from 1 species
CCUACGGGAGGCAGCAGUGAGGAAUAUUGGUCAAUGGGCGGAAGCCUGAACCAGCCAAGUCGCGUGAGGGAAUAAGGCCCUACGGGUCGUAAACCUCUUUUGCCGGGGAGCAAGGUCGGGGACGUGUCCCGGCCCGGAGAGUACCCGGAGAAAAAGCAUCGGCAAACUCCGUGCCAGCAGCGGCGGAAUUACGGGGGUUGCGAGCGUUAUCCGGAUUUAUUGGGUUUAAAGGGUGCGAGGGCGGGCUUUUAGUUCAGCGGUAAAUAUUCGGGGCUCAACCCGGUCCGGCCGUUGAUACUGGUGGCCUUGAGUGGGGGAGAGGAAGGCGGAAUGCGUGGUGUAGCGGUGAAAUGCGUAGAUAUCACGCAGAACACCGAUUGCGAAGGCAGCCUUCCGGUGCCCAACUGACGCUGAGGCACGAAAGUGCGGGGAGCGAACAGGAUUAGAUACCCCGGUAGUC